GCCAGCAACACAAAGCCUCCACAAACAGUCUCUGCGGGGUGGAAAGAGUCAGUAAUGGGGGAAACAGCUCAUCUUUCCUUCCACCCUUAAACCCCGUGUCAUGUGAAUGGAAAAACUCACACAUCUGGGGGCCGGCCCGGUGGCACAGUGGUUAAGUUCGCACAUUCCGCUUCUCGGAGGCCCGGGGUUUGCUGGUUCGGAUCCCGGGUGCGGACAUGGCACCGCUUGGCAAAAGUCAUGCUGUGGUAGGCGUCCCACCUAUAAAGUAGAGGAAGAUAUCUUUCAGGAACCCCAAGGAUGUGGCUGGAAUCUUCUGGUGGUGGUCAGUUUUCUGGAUAUUUCGGUCAACAAUAUCCUCACCCACCUGCCAAUUGAGAGAAAGAGGGAGAAAAGAAUAGACGGGGAGAAGGGGGAGAUGUCUGAAUUUGGGGAGUAAAAUUUCAGCUUGCCCAAAGAGCUCCUGGAGCUACAGGGGAGGCCAGAUUUUUGGUAACGUGUUGACCAUGUUGAAGUUUAUCUGAGCCAUUUGCUUCCAGAGAGCCUGGAUGGUGGAGAGACGGCAAAGGACCACCUUGCCUUCACAUACUCAGCGUUUUCUCAUCCCCCCUUCACAAAUGACGACUUGUCCACUCUGCUUCCCACUCCCUUGCCUUCAUAAAAACCCCAGGCCAUCCUUCCUUCCCUCUGAGAUGUUCCUCUGCGUUAAUGAAUGUCCUCCCUGUUGCAAUAGCCUGAAUAAAAUCAUCUCUUUAAUUAUCCGGUGCAUUCCUGUCGAACUGUGCUGCCCAUCCCGGGAGUCUGAAAUAGAGCCAUAAGCAGACUUUGAGUUAAGAGGGGGAGUCACCCUGGAUUGUCUUGGGAAAUCUGUGGACAGGACCUAGUUAAUGGACUGAAGGUAAGGAUUCCUUGAGGCUCCCUGCAUCCUCCUCCUGGCAAUGUUUUUCACUUCGAAAACUAAGAAGCAGUUACCCUAAGAGGGAGUUUAUUAUAUGCUUAUGAAGCAAAACACAAUCC
rnacentral:lncRNA from 1 species